AGCUUGUAGCGUAAUGGGUAGCGCGUUGGACUUCUAAUCCAAAGGUCGUGGGUUCAAAUCCUGCCUGGGCUG